rnacentral:rRNA from 1 species
GACGGAGGGGGCAAGCGUUGUUCGGAAUUAUUGGGCGUAAAGGGCGGGUAGGCGGCCACCGCAAGUCGACUGUGAAAUCUCCGGGCUUAACCCGGAAAGGUCAGCCGAUACUGCGGGGCUAGAGUGCAGAAGGGGCAACUGGAAUUCUCGGUGUAGCGGUGAAAUGCGUAGAUAUCGAGAGGAACACCUGCGGCGAAGGCGGGUUGCUGGGCUGACACUGACGCUGAACUGCGAAAGCUAGGGGAGCGAACGGG